UCGGGUCUCAGGGCAGCGCUUUUGGUCAGCUGCAGUACCCGCAACAUGUCACUACAGAUACCUAUGGCAAUGUACUAGUCACAGAUUAUGGCAAUGGACGUGUUAUGGUAUAUGCCACAGAAACUUACACACCACUGGCUGAGUUUGGAAAAGGAGAGCUGUACAAGCCGACAAGUGUCUGCGUGACAAGUGAGGGCUUAGUAGCUGUUUCCUCUUACCAGGAUCACAAGAUUUUCGUGUUUUGAAGGUUUCGGGUUAGACAUGUGUCAUCAGUCACCUGCUCACACUUUUGUAUACAUCAUAACAUAUACAUGUAUGACCAUAGCGUGACACCAACUGUUCUCGUAUCCCAUCCUACUCCUCUACCCCCCCCCCCCCCCCCACACACACACA